CGGACGGGUGAGUAAUGUCUGGGAAACUGCCCGAUGGAGGGGGAUAACUACUGGAAACGGUAGCUAAUACCGCAUAACGUCGCAAGACCGAAGAGGGGGACCUUAGGGCCUCUUGCCAUCGGAUGUGCCCAGAUGGGAUUAGCUAGUAGGUGGGGUAAUGGCUCACCUAGGCGACGAUCCCUAGCUGGUCUGAGAGGAUGACCAGCCACACUGGAACUGAGACACGGUCCAG
rnacentral:rRNA from 1 species